GCAGUUUCGGGAGGCCGUAAUUUCUGGAGAACAGCCCAAACCUUUGACCUCGAGGCAAUUCAUCCAACGGUCAUGUCUCCAAAUCUCACGUCUCAGAGAAUCACACCACCUUCACAUGACUACUGAGGGAGAGGAAAGCCAUCACCGGCUACUGCCUGACACUUCCCGGGGUCAAAUGGCCAGGCAGAGAUUGGGAUUUGUGUAUGUUCCCUGAAGGCAAGAAGUUCACUUGGCCAAGGUAUAGGCAUACAACAUCUGUAUAAUAAAUAUGCAUUGAAUUAUUGAUUUCAUAAUGAAUCAAUCAUACUAUUUCAUGAACACUUUUUAAAAAAUGAGAUGCUUACGAAAAGAUGUUUGAUAAUGGCGGUAAACAUUGGGACCAUUUUAAAAGACUAUGUUAUACGAGGCCAUUGCUCAAGAAAAAAAAUGGCACAUGGUUAUUCAGUCAUUUUCAGGACUGCAAUGCAAUCACACAUUAGAAGUGUGUUAAUGCUAAUCCUUAACAAGUAUCUCCACCGAAGUAAUCACCCUAAACCUAGGGGCACAGCCAUGAGGUCGUUCACUAACCGAUGUUCAAUGGGUACCAGGUAAAAGUUACAAAGAAAAAUUAUGCUACAAAUGUUUCCAGAAAAUUUAUUUUCCUUCUUUUUAUUUUGAAAUUUUAAAAUCUACAGAAAUGUUGCACAAGUAGGAAGAGAAACACCUACAUGCCCUUUGUCUGGUUUCCUCAGUAUUAAACUUUUGCUGGACUUGUCUCUCUCUCGUGUGUGUGUGCAUGCACGCGCGUGUGUGCCUGUGUGUGUGGGGAGGGGGGGUGUUGGACCAUUUGAGAAUUACUUGGAGAUAGUGUAACACCUCAUUCCUAUAUGCCAAUCUCCUAAGAACAAAGGCAUUCUCCUAUAUAAUACAAUUAUCUUACUCAGGAAGUAUAACAUUAAUGCAAUGUCCUUAUCUAAUACACCAACCACUUCCAAAUUUCCCCAAUUAUACCAACACUGUCCUUUGUUUUUCUAAUUUACUCUUCCUCCCAAGGGCCUCAGAUCACACAGGUCACACAUUACAAUUAUUGGCCAUGUCUCUCCAAUCUCCUUUACUCUGGGACCCAGCCUUGUUUCUCACACUCAUGAUGUUGACAUUUUUCAAAAGUCCAGGCCAGGGGUUUUCCAGAAUGUGCUACAAUUUGGACUGUCCAGAUGAUAAGACUCAGUUUAAACAUUCUGAGCACAAAUACUACGCAGGUGAAAUGUAUCUUUCUUGGUGCAUCAGCAAUGAUAUCCGUUUCUCCCGUGGAACUUGCCCUCCUGGCGCCCUACAUGCAAACGCUGCUGCUCCUCACCUGCUGAAUCAAUCAGGGGGUCUCCUUCUCCUGCCUCUGCUAGCACAGCCCACCUGCAUGGACCGUUCUCUCUAUCCGUCUACCCAAGGGUUUCUUUUGUUCACGGCUCAACUCACACAUUACCACUUAGCACACAACUUUCCAUACUACACUCCUCCAGAGGUACACACCUUUCUCCAAAAUUUCUAGAGUUGUCCAAAAUCCGCCCAGUGCUUCAUCACGACGAAUGACUUUACAGCCCCCUUGUACUAAUGCUCAUCUGUGAACCUCAUCAUCCCACUAC
ensembl:lncRNA